CUGUAUUUUUAAAAUGAGGACACCGCAGGUGAAUUUCUGUCUACAGGCCUUGUACACAAGUUUGUACUACA